GAGAAUAUAGCUCAGUGGUAGAGUGCAUACUUAGCAUGCACGAGGUCCUGGGUUCAAUCCCCAAGUAAUGCCG
rnacentral:tRNA from 1 species